GUAUUAAUUGCGUGUUAUCGCAAAGAGACAUUCUACACUGCAUCGAGUUUGUGUGAAAACGCGAGCCCCCCUCGGGACGAGCCGAAAGGGGACCCACGCGGUGGUGCACAUAGGGGUGAAAUGGAUGGUUGAGAGCACUUGGGCGUGCACGACGAAAAGUCAGCGACAGCCCAUGUGCCUCGGUUGUACGAUAAUGAUCCUUCCGCAGGUUCACCUACGGAAA
rnacentral:misc_RNA from 1 species